rnacentral:lncRNA from 1 species
AUGGACAGAUGCUUCAUACUGAUCCUCAUCGUGGGAACAGGUUUGGUGGCUGGAGACAGCAUUGAUCCAGAUAAAGGGACAGAAAAAAACUCUCAAGAAACACAAACUGUCAAGAUGAGCUGCUCAUAUACUACAAGUAGUGAAAAUGUUUGGCUUUACUGGUACAGACAGUAUCCCAACAGAGAACCACAAUAUUUAUUGCUCAAAGGUGCACGAUCAAGUAGCUCUGAUAAACACACCUCUGAUAAUCGGUUUCAGUCGACUGCAUCACGUUCAUCCACUGAACUCACUAUCACUGAUGUACGUCUGUCAGAUUCAGCUCUCUAUUAUUGUGCUCUAAGAGUAGUAGCCCAGUGAUACAAAAUAUGAGACAUGUCAUACAAAAACCUGAAGCUAUUUUCACUUUGAAAUUAUCUAGUAAAAACCACAAUCAAAACCCAAAUCUAUCAAGCCCCCAAUGUAAUAAAAUAUGUGGUCACACCUGUGUAAGACUGAAUUAGGCUUUUAUUAUAAGGCAUAAAUGUAUAAGAGAAUCUUCAGAAUUAUUUUUUAACAUUUUUCCAGAUAUCAUUCAUGUGACUGUUUAUUUAAAAUAAAUGUUGAUAUUUAAAAAACUUUAAUAAAUUCAUAAUGACAGAGUCAAUUAACUAAAAUAAACAGUAGUGAUCAUGCAAGCAUUAUUAUAUUGCUUGCAUGAUUUCAUUCCAUUGACUGAUUUCAAUGUAAUUUAAUAACAGUGUUUUCUUGAUUUAAGUGAGUGAGUGACAUGAACAUUCAGCCAAGUAUAGCGACCCAUACUCAGAGUUCAUGCUCUGCAUUUAACCCAUCCAAAGUGCACACACACAGCAGUGAACAAACACACACACACACACACACACACACACACACACACACACACACACACACACACACACACAGAACACACACCCAGAGCAGUGGCCAGCCAUUUAUGCUGCGGCGCCCAGGGAGGAGUUGGGGGUCCGGUGCCUUACUCAAGGGCUCCUAAGUUGUGGUAUUGCCAGCCUGAGACUCAAACCCACAACCUUAGGGUUAGGAGUCAAACUCUCUAACCAUUAGGCCACAACUUCCCUGUAAGGCUAUGUGAAGUAGAAUUGUCUUCCAAAAUGAACAAUUGUAUAACAUAUAAUUUAGGGUUAACACUGAGGCAGAGAUAUUGUUUAAAGUGAUGGUAUGCUGUUGUGAGUAAAGCCAAAAUAACAUUCAAAAUGUGAUGGAAGAAAAACACCCAAUACACUAAAUACUCUGUUGACUGUCCAGCAGCAUCCAGUCUAUUUGAUAUUAUCGCUCAGUCUUGUGGGGUUUUAUUUUCAUGGCUUUGGCAGUGACUUCAGAGCUUGUUUUCUCACUGACACACAGAGUAUUGUCUCAAAUCCAGUCCUCGGCAAAUCAAAGUCACAUACAUUAUAUAUGGCGAAAAGCAACACAGGAUUUUACAUAUUUUUUUACAUGUAGUAUUAUUUAAAAUUGUAUGUAAUUUCAAAAGUUGGCCACAGUGUGGCAUAAUCUAAGAUGCUGUGGUAACCUACUAAUUUAAGUUCCUGCUGUAUGUGUGGAACAAACAACUGUGUGCUUGUAAAGUUCAGAGUAAUAUUGCCCACUGUGCAUAAACUAUGUUGAUCUGGCUGAGGAAUUUACUUCUAAUGGCUGCAGUUCUGGGUAAGUAAUUUAAAUGUUAAAUGUAACACAUUAAUAUU